CCAAACUUGCGACCGCUCUCCUGAUCAAACUAUUUUGACAAUAUUUCUCAGAUUGCGGCUACACCCUUUAAUUUGGGGGUAAAAAAUUCGAAUCAGUCUAAAAAAGAUACAUUUAUUCAGAAAAGGUACGUUUUUGUGUCUGAUUUCGCUACUUGAAUUAUCGUCUGAAGUGAUAAAUUAUAUUUGAGGUCUCCCUCUUGAACCAUUAAGAUAGAGUCGUGAUCGUGAAGAUCUGAUCAUGUGAUCCGCACCAACACCAUGGAGUCACUAGUAUGUUGAAACUCAUAGCUGUAUUAUAAAAAAAAGUGCAAAUCAAAGCAAGGCUAUUGAAGUAUGUAAUAAGUAUAUUCAUUAAUAAUAUAAAAACUCCUUUUAUUAAAAAAUAUAAACAAAACAUUCCAAAGUAACAAUUGAAAAUUAGAUUAAUAAUUUAUUUUUCCAUCGUAAACAUCUUGUUUUUUAGCUUCUUAAUCAACAAUAAAGUGCUUUACCAUAUUACUACACUUGAAAAUAUAACUCAGCAUUGCUUGCCUCCUAAAAUUUAAAUAUAAAUUUUGAGUGUUUUUUAUAAUUUGCGUUAUUUUAUUUUAUUCUUUAUUUUAAAAUGCUGGUUCGAUUUUAGGGGAUAGUUCUUACGGAGAUGAUGAUGGAAAUUAUGGAUCUAGCAGUAAGUAACA